rnacentral:lncRNA from 1 species
GACCUUUCUUGGCUGCUUGAAGAGGCUAAUGCUGGAGUAAUGGUAGCAACAAAGACAGUGCAGAUUCGUCUCUGGCUCUGCCAGAGAAGCCCUUGUGUGUCCUCCACCACCUGCUUGGGAUACUCCCUCCAGAGUGUCACACAUCUGUAAGAACCUUUCUGCCCGUCAGCUGUUGCCCUCGGCCUGUGCUCUGGAGGCUCCAGGGGUCUCUCAGGGUCCCAUCUUGGCGAGUUCUUUGCAGCCACGCAUCUGCCAGCUUCACGGUCAUCCCCCUGGAAACAGAAACUUGUCUUCUAAAGUGCCUGCCAUGUCAUAAAUGCUGUCAUUCCACUUAUCCAAUUUCACUCUCCGCAGUUUCUAUUACAGCUAAUUUGAAAAAUAUUACAUGGAAAAUUCCAGAAAUAAGCAAUCCAUUUGUUUUAAGUUGUAUGCCAUCCCGGGUACCACGAUGAAGGCUCACAUCAUCCUGCUGCGUCCCACACAGGAUGUGAGUCACGCCAUUGUCUAGCAUGUCCACGCUGUGUACACGGCUCACCAUCUAGUCACCUAGUAGCUGGCUUGGUCACCAGACAGGAGGGACUGCCAGAGUGCCACAGUACCACAGUGCCACAGCGCUUGUGUUCAAGAGACCCCUGAUGUCGUAAUCCAACACUGCGGCCGCCAUGCUUACGCCAUGCGCCUC